rnacentral:rRNA from 1 species
ACUCCUACGGGAGGCAGCAGUGGGGAAUAUUGCACAAUGGGGGAAACCCUGAUGCAGCCAUGCCGCGUGUGUGAAGAAGGCCUUCGGGUUGUAAAGCACUUUCAGUUGUGAGGAAAAGUUGGUAGUUAAUACCUGCCAGCCGUGACGUUAACAACAGAAGAAGCACCGGCUAACUCCGUGCCAGCAGCCGCGGUAAGUACGGAGGGUGCGAGCGUUAAUCGGAAUUACUGGGCGUAAAGCGCACGCAGGCGGUUUUGUUAAGCUAGAUGUGAAAGCCCCCGGGCUCAACCUGGGAUGGUCAUUUAGAACUGGCAGACUAGAGUCUUGGAGAGGGAGUGGAAUUCCAGGUGUAGCGGUGAAAUGCGUAGAUAUCUGGAGGAACAUCAGUGGCGAAGGCGACUCCCUGGCCAAAGACUGACGCUCAUGUGCGAAAGUGUGGGUAGCGAACAGGAUUAGAUACCCCUGGUAGCGACUGA